rnacentral:rRNA from 1 species
CCUACGGGAGGCAGCAGUGGGGAAUAUUGCACAAUGGGGGAAACCCUGAUGCAGCGACGCCGCGUGAGUGAAGAAGUAUCUCGGUACGUAAAACUCUAUCAGCAGGGAAGAAAAUGACGGUACCUGACUAAGAAGCCCCGUCUAACUACGUGCGAGCAGCCGCGGUAAUACGUAGGGGGCAAGCGUUAUCCGGAUUUACUGGGUGUAAAGGGAGCGUAGACGGCAUCACAAGUCUGUAGUGAGAUCCCGGGGCUUACCCCCGGAACUGCUUUGGAAACUGUGGGGCUGUAGUGCAGAAUGGAGAAGCGGAAGUCCUAGUGUAGCGGGGAAAUGCGUAGAUAUUAGGAGGAACAC